rnacentral:lncRNA from 1 species
AGCUAAUAGUUCUCUCUGUGCUCAACACAUUACCAACACAUUUAACGUCCUUCCAAGUUUCAACAUUAAUUCUUUAUACGAGUUUAGACAAUAGUGAAAAGGAUGAGUUGGCAUGAGAAAAUAAUUUUUUUUUUUGUUUUUGGUAAAAAAUAUGAUUACAAAGUUUCUGAAAAUCGUUUAGUGUUGUUAGUUUGUUAGCUGUAAAUUAAUAAUAACUGCUUACAAUGUAUAUUUAAUUUGUUC